UACAGAGGGUGCGAGCGUUAAUCGGAAUUACUGGGCGUAAAGCGUGCGUAGACGGUAGCGUAAGUCAGAUGUGAAAGCCCCGGGCUCAACCUGGGAACUGCAUUUGAGACUGCUCUGCUCGGGUGCGGAAGAGGGAAGCGGAAUUUCCGGUGUAGCGGUGAAAUGCGUAGAUAUCGGGAAGAACACCUGUGGCGAAAGCGGCUCACUGGACCAUAACUGACGCUGAGGCGCGAAAGCUAGGGGAGCAAACAGG
rnacentral:rRNA from 1 species